rnacentral:rRNA from 1 species
CAGCAGCCGCGGUAAUACAGAGGGUGCGAGCGUUAAUCGGAUUUACUGGGCGUAAAGCGUGCGUAGGCGGCUUCUUAAGUCGGAUGUGAAAUCCCUGAGCUUAACUUAGGAAUUGCAUUCGAUACUGGGAAGCUAGAGUAUGGGAGAGGAUGGUAGAAUUCCAGGUGUAGCGGUGAAAUGCGUAGAGAUCUGGAGGAAUACCGAUGGCGAAGGCAGCCAUCUGGCCUAAUACUGACGCUGAGGUACGAAAGCAUGGGGAGCAAACAGGAUUAGAGACCCGAGUAGUCCAUGUCUCUUAUAC